UUCGUGCUCGAUGGUAUUUGAUGCUCAUUGUUAACGUCGUCUCUCUGUCUCUCUCUCAUAUGUUUCAGAAAUUUCUUGGUAAUUAUACUUCAACUUUGUUAUCAAAAUUUUUACAUAUAAAAUAUUAGUGAAUAAAUUGCACUAGGAAUUAUCAAAAAUUUCCACAAAUGAUGCUAAAUUUAGUUUCAUACCUUGUGCUAUCUCGUAGCAGUAUGGUUUAAACAUGACACUACUAUCUACAUUUAGUAAGAAUGAGAUUUUGUACAUAGAGGUGCUAAAGCAAUGGUACACCCUUGAAAAGUCCUACAAGUCCAUAUGCAUAAACGUGUCAGAAACCCUUGAGGAGCUAAAUUUACUUCCAUACCUUGUGCUAUCUUUUAGCAGCAUGGUUUGAACAUGGCACUACGACCUACAUUUAGGGUGUGUUUGGUUCCACAUAAAACUAUGGAAAAUAAAAUUUCGGUGGAAAAGAAUUUUCAAUGGAAAAACAGUUUUACGUCGUUUAGUGUUUGGUUUGUAGGAAAAGAAAAUUAAUUUUUCAUGAUGGUUGUUUGGUUGAAAGGAAAAAAAAAUAGAUGCAAAACUAUUUAAUACAUUUUUUAUUAUAUAUAUUAUUAAUAUAUACCAAUUAAUAUACUAUAUAUUAUUAUUAUUAUAAUUUCUAUAUAUAGAUUAAAUAUAUUUAAAAUUAUAAUAAACAUAUUACAUAAUAUAUAA
rnacentral:lncRNA from 1 species